rnacentral:sRNA from 1 species
UGGGUGGGGGGAAAUUGGGUUGAUCAGCUGAAUGACCUCAAUGUCAUCCUAUUAUGAAUUUCAGUAAGCAAUACUUCUGAAUUGUCAAUUUUAUCAGCCGAAUGUAAUUGUGUGUGUGUGUGUAUGUGUGUGUGUGUUAGAGUAGGUAUUGGGAAUCUCAGACAACCUACACUUUCCUCUUUCUCCCCAA